UACGAGGGGGGCAAGCGUUGUUCGGAAUCACUGGGCGUAAAGGGCGCGUAGGCGGCGUUUUAAGUCGGGGGUGAAAGCCUGGUGGCUCAACCACAGAAUGGCCUCGAUACUGGGACGCUUGAGUCUGGUAGAGGUUGGUGGAACUGCGAGUGUAGAGGUGAAAUUCGUAGAUAUUCGCAAGAACACCGGUGGCGAAGGCGGCCAACUGGACCAGCACUGACGCUGAUGAGCGAAAGCUAGGGGAGCAAACGGG
rnacentral:rRNA from 1 species